AUGGAGGCAGCGGCAGCAGCGGCUAGCUCCUCUGUCCUGCUGUCAUUUUCCAGCCCGGGGAGAUCAACGGCGGCUACCUUCCUCCGCCUCUCCACGGCGUCGCCUCGCAUCACAUGCUCCGCCACACAGCAGCUUCCCCUCGCUGCGCCAUGGUUGUUAACCUCCGACAAGAGCAGCAGCAGAAGAAGAAGCAUCUUGUCGCUGAGGUGCUCCUCCGCUUCCACCGGCAGCCCGUCGGCCGUCGUCUCUUCGGAACGAUGGAUUCUUGAGCCCGCAGGAGACGGCGACUGGAAACACAUCGGCUACCGCGUCGCUCGGCCCGGCGCCAUGGAGAUCGCCUCCGCGUCCUGUUCAUCUCAGGAAGCGAUAACCGUGGGACGAGUUCCGGAGAACGCCGACGUCGUCAUCCCCGUCGCGACAGUUUCUGGGGUGCACGCUCGGCUGGAGAAGAAGGACGGGAACCUGGUGGUCACGGACAUGGACAGCACCAACGGCACCUACGUCAACGAGAGGAAGCUGGUGCCCGGAUUCCCGGUUGCCGUCCAACCCGGGAGCCUCCUCAUCUUCGGUGACAUCCACUUGGCAAUGUUUCGGGUGAGGAAGGAGAUUGUCGAUGUGCCAGCCAAGGCCACCAAAGAUGACCAGCAGGAAUCUGAGACUGUGCUGGCAAGUGCAGUUCAAGAAACAAGCUAG
rnacentral:rRNA from 1 species